UUUCCGUAGGUGAACCUGCGGAAGGAUCAUUCAUAAUAGAGUGUUUUAUGGCACUUUUUAAAAAUCCAUAUCCACCUUGUGUGCAAUGUUAGAUCUCGUCAAUCUUGGCGAGAUUUUUAUACAUCAACUCAUUCUUUAACUAAUUUGUCUGAAAAAUAUUAUGAAUACUUAAUUCAAAAUACAACUUUCAACAACGGAUCUCUUGGCUCUC
rnacentral:misc_RNA from 1 species